CCGGCAGUCACCGCGGCGACUGGCGGCAGGGGCCUUGCGCCUGGAGCUUCAACGGGCUCUGUCCCCGCCCACAGCAGUCUCGCCCCGCCCCUCCCCGCCUCGGCCACUCCCGCCGCCGCGCCUCGCCGCGCCUCGGCUUGGCGUACCUGCAGAGCAGGUGUGUAUGAACGGUGACUGGCUAUCCUGCAUCCGGAAGUCAGAAAACAACACCGCGGAACUCAGAGGACAAACUUCAGCAGCCAGCACUCUCUACCCUGUGGGGCCCAGUGAGUCCCGGGAAUAAAGCGGAGAACCGUUGAGACCACCCAGGGCAACAUCUGGCCCAUGUGUCCUCACACAGAUGCUCACACACAGAAGGAAAUACCAACUCUGGGGCUUCGUCCCAGAGCCACUAAAUCAAACUUUGUGUUCAGAGAAGUAGUCUAGAUCACUCUGGUGAGCACCGAGGUCUGAGAGCUGCUCUAAAGUAGCAAUAAUACACACAGGACAGGAGAAGGUACAUCGUGAAGUAAAAGGAAUGAAUGUAAGGAGUUUGAUGUUUUGCGGUGGCAAAUGGCUGAGAGAUCACAAAGGCAAACGGUUAGAGCUAUAGCCAUGAGGGUAAUUGAAAGAAAAACUGGUGUCGGGCCAAUUUACCUUUGAGUAAUGUGAAGGCUGGUCUUUGUUUUAUAGGAACAAAAUAAGAGAAGGCUAAAUAAGAAAGACGUAAUCUAAAGUAAAUCCAAGGCCAACAGAAAAACAUUCCUCAGCUACACAUACGAAACAGGCAAAGAGGGGACUCUCACACACAUUCCUGAGCAGGGAAGAGAAAAUAACGCAAUUGACCAUGUAUAAGCUUGUAUUGAAAAGCCUUGGCCAAAACUACAGGCUAGAGAGAUGGCUCAGCAGUUUGGAGCACUGGCUGCUCUUCCAGAGGACCUCAGUUCAAUUCCUAGCACAUACAUGGUCGCUCACAGCUGUACCUCCACUUCCAGCAGAUCUGACGCCCUCUUCUGGCCACUGCAGGCACUGCAUGAAGACUGCGCACAGACGUACAUGCAGGCAAAAUAAUGGCAGGACAUAGAGCUCCGUUGGCAGAGGGUUGAACAAUCAGCACUGCAAACCCAGGCAUGGUGACACAUGUCUGUGAUAUAGGGAGGAGGGAGGGGAAAAGGGUGCUUUCUAUCAUGUAUAAAACUCCCUUUCACUUUGGAAACGUCUUGAAUUUAGCUUCUUUACUUUGUAAGUAGAGAGCUUUAUCCUUGUUCACCUUUCGGCUUAAUGCUGAGGUCAACUGAAAUAACACUUGCAAAAACGCUCCUCUGAGUUAACCAAAGGUCCCCAGGCUUUAUGGAGCCUGCUUGUCAUCCGAGCCCUUGGGAACCUGAAUCAGGACAGCAAGUCCAGACAUGGGCUUCAUAGAAAGUCUCUAUUUAAGAAAAAAGACUUGAGGGCUGGAGAGAUGGCUCAGUGGUUAGAGCACUGACUGCUCUUCCAGAGGUCCUGAGUUCAAUUCCCAGCAACCACAUGGUGGCUCACGACCAUCUGUAAUGGGAUCCAAUGCCCUCUUCUGGUCUGUCCAAAGACAGUGACCGUGUACUCACAUACAUGGAAUAAAUAAAUAAAUCUUAAAAAAAAAGAAAAAAAGAAAAAGAAAAAAGACUUGUGUGUUAUAAAAAUACUUCUGAACGUAUGCCGUCGUUUGUCCAUUUGUCAUUCUGGUUUAUUUUUGUUAUUAUUAAAUGUGUGGUUUUUAAGGAAUUAACAUACACACAUACACACAUACACACACACAUACACACACAUACACACAUACACACAUACAUACACAUACACACAUACACACAUACAUACACACAGACACACACAGACACACAGACACACAUACACACACAUAUACACACAUACACACAUACACACACAUACACACACAUACACACAUACACACACAUACACUCAUACACACACAUACACAUAUACACACAUACACACAUACAUACACAGACACACACAUAUACACACAUACACACACAUACACACACAUACACACAUACACACACAUACACACAUAUACACACAUACACACAUACACACACAUACACACACAUACAUACACACACAUACACACACAUACACACAUACACACAUACAUACACAGCAACGUCUUUCAAGCAGUACAAAAAAAUCACAGUGUGGU